GCGGACCGCUUUUGCUGACCUUUACCAAGGGACAAGCUCUCCCGGAUCCCAGGCCUGCCCACUGUUAAGGUUCGUCUUUCCGGCUCAGCUAACCCAGUCUAGAAACUUCCUCACAGGUUUUGACACCACAUUCUCAUGCCCCGUCAUCGCUUUGCUAACUGAGCCAUGCCCUCAGAUCUGGAAAGACUUCUUUGUCUGCAUUGGUGCUAUGAUCAGCUGAUACGUGUGAAGACAGUGUUCUGCAGAGUGUGCAGAUCAAUGGAUGAACUGUACAUCUAUUUGAGGCUGCUGGUUUUUUCCCACAUCUGAACCUGAAAAGAAAACAAUGGCAGAAGAAAAUUAGACAGUUAAGACUCUUCUCCUUAAAACACCAGACUGACAUCGGAAAACAUUUCCCCAUUCGACCAGGGAAAAACCUGUGAAUUCUAACUAAAGAACCUAACAGGUGCAGACCUCAUGACUUAGGAUUUAUUUGAGCUACUUUCUUGAUUAAACACAAAACCUAGAAUCUAAGCUCUCCAGUUUCCAUGAAGAAAGGAUUGAAGGGUAGCAGGAAGUUCAUGGCAAUACUGAAGGAUUAUCAUGAAGAAUUAUAAUGAUUAAAUGAAUUACCAAAUGCAGGUAUCUGUUCAAAUUUGUGACAGACCAGUAUCUACACAUACGGACUUAGCUUUAUUAUGGUCUGCCACGGCUAACACUUUAUCUCACAGAACCCCCAGGCAGUCACAUAAAUAUUCCCAUGUAAUAAAUGGGAAGGCCGACGGCUGAGAAGACAAAUACUUUCCCCAUUAGUUAAUUUACGCCAUAAGUUGGGAAUUUGGAGCCAGGCCGAUGCAGCUCAGAGUCUCAGUU